rnacentral:rRNA from 1 species
UACGGGGGGGGCAAGCGUUGUUCGGAAUUACUGGGCGUAAAGGGCUCGUAGGCGGCCAACUAAGUCAGACGUGAAAUCCCUCGGCUUAACCGGGGAACUGCGUCUGAUACUGGAUGGCUAGAGGUUGGGAGAGGGAUGCGGAAUUCCAGGUGUAGCGGUGAAAUGCGUAGAUAUCUGGAAGAACACCCGUGGCGAAGGCGGUUCUCUGGGACGGUACUGACGCUGAGACGCGAAAGCGUGGGGAGCGAACAGG